rnacentral:rRNA from 1 species
AGAGGUAAGAAUAUACAUAAUAUAAUUGUUUACAUUUUCUUUUAAUUAGAACAUUCUUAAUGUAUUUUGUCUUAGUAGUUGUUGAUGAAAUGGAUUCUAAUAAAUUAUUGUGUGUUAAAGAAUGAAGUACUGUGAGGGUAGGUUGAAAUAUAUUAAAAGUGUUUAAUUAAAAGAAAAAUGUAAACAAUUGUACCUUGUGUAUCAGGGAAGAUAGGGUUUAUACAAUUUAUUUUGUUUUCCCGAAGAGAAAAGAUCUGCAUUGGUAUGUAUGUAAUUAUUUUAUAAAUUUUUAAAAUAUUUUGUAGAGGUAAAAUGCUUUUCGGUUUUCCGGUUAUCUGGUUGUUUAAUAAGUGAAUUUAAUUCGGCUUUUUUUUGAUGGUGACUAUUUAUAGUUGUUAUUUUUUAGGAAAAAGUAAGGUUGCAGGGGGAUGUGCUCUUGUAAAAUAUUUGUUGCUAUAAUCUGUUAUGGAAUAUGUGUUGUGUGUAGGUUUAGAAUUUGCCCUUGUUUUUAAGUUUGUUAUUAAUUGUUCUUUGUGGUAUAAUUAUUUGUGUAAGGUUUAGUUUUAUUAUUGAACUGUUGUCUUUAAUUUUUUAUGGUGAGAAAUAAUGAUUUUAUUAGUAAGUUAGGUAUUUUUUUUAUAAGAAUUAGGCAAAUAUCGUUUCUUCGCCUGUUUAACAAAAACAUGUCUUUUAGGGUAUAGUUUAAGGUUUGACCUGCCCAAUGAUGGUUUAUUUAAUGGCCGCGGUAUUUUGACCGUGCAAAGGUAGCAUAAUCAUUAGUCUUUUUAUUGGAGUCCUGUAUGAAGGGUUGGACGAGGGAAAUACUAUUUAAGUGGAAAUAUAGUUACUGAAUUUUACUUUUUAGUGAAAAGGCUUGAAUUUUUUUGAGGGACGAUAAGACCCUAUAGAUCUUUACAGUUAACUAAGUUGUUUGGUGGGUGUUUAUGUUGGAAGGAUUGUGGUUGAUUGUUUUGCUGGGGCGGCGAGGAGAUAAUAAUUAACUCUUUUUUGUUAGUGGUUACUUAUGGGUAAUUUUGUUGAUCCAUCAGAGUGAUUAUAAGACUAAGUUACCUUAGGGAUAACAGCGUAAUCUUUUUAGAGAGUUCUGAUCGAUAAAAAGGUUUGCGACCUCGAUGUUGAAUUAAGAUUUCUUUUAUGGUGAAGGAGCUUUAUAAGUUAGUCUGUUCGACUAUUAAAAUCUUACAUGAUUUGAGUUCAAACCGGUGUGAGCCAGGUUGGUUUCUAUCUUCAAAAGGGGGAUAUGUUUUAGUACGAAAGGACCAGAUAUAUUUAAUAAU